UACGUAGGGGGCAAGCGUUGUCCGGAGUUACUGGGCGUAAAGCGCACGCAGGCGGUCUGUUAAGUUUGGAGUGACAGUUGGUGGCUUAACUGCCAAAGUGCUUUGAAAACUGAUAGACUUGAGGGCUUCAGAGGGACACGGAAUUCCGGGUGGAGUGGUGAAAUGCGUAGAUAUCGAGAGGAACACCGGUGGCGAAGGCGGCCUUCUGGACAGUGACUGACGCUGAGACACGAAAGCGUGGGGAGCAAACAGG
rnacentral:rRNA from 1 species